rnacentral:rRNA from 1 species
AACGAACGCUGGCGGCAGGCCUAACACAUGCAAGUCGAGCGCCCUUUCGGGGGAGCGGCGGACGGGUGAGUAACGCGUGGGAAUAUGCCCUUCUCUACGGAAUAGCCUCGGGAAACUGAGAGUAAUACCGUAUACGCCCUAUGGGGGAAAGAUUUAUCGGGGAAGGAUUAGCCCGCGUUGGAUUAGGUAGUUGGUGGGGUAAUGGCCUACCAAGCCGACGAUCCAUAGCUGGUUUGAGAGGAUGAUCAGCCACACUGGGACUGAGACACGGCCCAGACUCCUACGGGAAGCAGCAGUGGGGAAUCGUAGACAAUGGGGGCAACCCUGAUCUAGCCAUGCCGCGUGAGUGAUGAAGGCCUUAGGGUUGUAAAGCUCUUUCAGCUGGGAAGAUAAUGACGGUACCAGCAGAAGAAGCCCCGGCUAACUCCGUG